GCGCCCGGAGCUCAGCUGGACAGAGCUUUGGCCGUCGGAGUCAAAGGCCACAAGUUCGAAUCCUGUCGGGCGCGCCA
rnacentral:tRNA from 1 species